AACUUUCGACAACGGAUCACUUGGCUCUCGCAUCGAUGAAGAACGCAGCGACAUGCGAUACGUAAUGUGAAUUGCAGAUGGAACAGAAUCAUCGAAUCUUUGAACGCACCUUGCACUCUUUUGUUAUUCAGAAGCGUAUGCCUGUUUGAGUGUCGCGACCCUCUCAACCCCGCCCGUCUUGGGUUGCCUGGGCUUGGAUCAUGGUCUUUGCCGGUUCGAAGACACGGGCUGGACUGAAAGACAACAAGCUGGAUCAGAACGUGCGGCUUGACCUGACGUUGUAACGUAACUCGUUGGGGACGCAACGUUGUGAAUGAGCUUUAUCAGACGACGAUCAGACCUCAAAUCAGGUAGGACUACCCGCUGAAUUUAAGCAUAUCAAUAAGCGGAGGCU
rnacentral:misc_RNA from 1 species